ensembl:lncRNA
AUGAGCUCGCACACAGGAAGAAGACACAGUCCUCAAAGGGGACACAACAGUGCAGGGAAAAUAAUUGGCAAUGUCUUUACACAAGCACAACAUGGCGUUGUACCCGGUAAGAGCGCAGAUGGCAUAAACGUGCCGUUUCCGAUCAAGCCUGUCUACCACAAAAGAUCUGUUCAACCCAGUAAACAAGACGGAUUUGCACCGUAUGAUUUAGAAAAAGCUGCUACAACAAAACAACCAAGAGAUCCUUCGCCGCCCCAGGAACAGCUUACAAAUGGCAAAGACACCAACGGAUGCCGAGACCCAAUAAACAGCUCAGACUGCAGACAGGCCAGUGGAGAACUGCAGAUGGACAGAGCGAUUUAUGCAGGAAAGCUCAUGCUGCAGGAUAAGCUGUGGAUCUUGGCGGAAAAAAUGAGACAGAAAAAACAGAGGGACACUGCUGCUGCUGCACUUGAUGACCAAAAGAGCGGGGAGCAGAGACGCAGCAGAGGACAUGCCGAAGGAGGACAACUGCAGACAAAACCCAGGCUGCCUGAGCAGCAGAGGAGAGAACCGGUGGGAAGGAGGGAAACAAAAGUGCAAGAACGAGGACGGGAGAAUUUUCAACAACAUGUGAAGAUACAAGGUCAAGAAGAAAGGGCCGGGGGGCCAGGAAGGGAAAUGGCAACUCACCAGCUCACAGUUCUGGAGCAAGAAGCAAGUGGAGAGCUGAGCAAACCACGGUCGGAAAAGGUGAAACAUGAAGAGGAGAAAUGGCUUUCUGACCACGACCGAGAUACACCUCAAACGAGUCAGCAGAAGGCCUCUCGUGAAGCCGCAACCGGAGGAAGAAAACCGCCGGGGGGGGGCAACGCUGCCACCGGUGUCUCAUCCCUCCCGUCUCAGCGGACCACAGCCGGGACAGAACCAGAAAGCGGACUCCCGCCUCCAGCUCCUUCCUUGCAAAAUUUGCAAGAGGAAGUUUGCAAGCCAAAGGUUGCAGAAGCACGUCCAAAUCUGUGA